rnacentral:lncRNA from 1 species
GGCCAACCACAUUUGAUUGGUCUGCAAGAGUGCGUCUUGGAGGAGUUCUUUCAGCCAUCUCCUUUGUUCUUCUAACUGGUGAAGGUGAUAGUAAUCUGUUAGGGGAAGGAAACAAAUCCCUAUAUGGGCGUCUGACUCUCCUUCUCCCCCUUGCCUCGCUUAAGCCUUCAAGAAGAGGUUGCGUAUUUUUCUUGUUUCUAGUAUGUCUAGGCUCCGGCUGCAUGCACAAGAAACACAAACCCUAGUAGCACUUUUUCAUAAAAAAAUAAAAAAAAACAAAAAGAUAAAAAGAUAUAUACAAUCAACUCAAACUUAAUCAGUUUACACUACUAGAUAAGUUCAACCACGAUUCCCCGGCAACGGCGCCAAAAACUUGUUAAGCCCCUGGCAAGUGUACCAGAUCGUUAUCAAGUAAUAUAAUUGGUACACCCAAUAUCGUUCUUCCCAAAGGACUCUUAGGCCUUACUUUUCAUGUAAAUAAAUCGCGUAAGACUUGAGAAAAGAACUAAGUUGGUGUUUGUAUGCAAAGAACAAACAUAAACAUGCAAAUGCAGUUGAUUCAAUUGGUUUUAAGAAACUAUGGAUGAAUGGUGUUGUUGGGGUUUACAAUUUCAUCUUAUCCACUCUCAUAUAUCUACUCUUCUUAUUUACUUCACUUAUUUAUCCAAUUGCCAUACAAACUUUCUAGUCUACCCUUAACCUUAUCCCUUGGUGAAAAGAGCCUAUUAUUAAUUACCGGCUUGCUAUCCCUAGCCUCCCUUAGUAACCAAUAAUGCAAUGCGAUCGGAAGCAAAUACAAUUGANNN